rnacentral:rRNA from 1 species
UACGUAGGGGGCUGGCGUUGUCCGGAAUCAUUGGGCGUAAAGCGCGUGUAGGCGGCUCGCCAAGUCCGAUGUGAAAGCUCGGGGCUUAACCCCGAGUCUGCAUUGGAAACUGGCUUGCUUGAGUCCGGAAGAGGAGACUGGAAUUCCUGGUGUAGCGGUGAAAUGCGCAGAUAUCAGGAAGAACACCGGUGGCGAAGGCGGGUCUCUGGGACGGUACUGACGCUGAGACGCGAAAGCGUGGGGAG